rnacentral:tmRNA from 1 species
GGGGGUGAUCGGUUUCGACUUAGAGAAGGAGGAAAGGGCUGCGUUGUCAGUGGGUUGGCCAACUGUAAGAGGCCUUCACAAUAUAAACGCAAACGCGUAUGUUACCGCUGAUGAAGCGGAACUCUGCUGCUUACCUGCGUAAGUAGCGCUCUCUCUAUCUUUGCCUCGGAGGUAAUAGAGGGCUCAUUUAGAGGCUAAGCAUGUACAUUCGUCUUUGGUGUACGUGACGAAAACCGCAGAAGACUGCUCUUUACCUGAUCCUGCCGGUUAGAGCUGGUAAAGAAAAGAUAAACAACCGGAUACGCAGCGUAGUAUGCUCUUUAGCAAUUCUUUGAGGACACGGGUUCAAUUCCCGUCACCUCCACCA